UCCUUUAGGACCCUAAAGUCCAUGAAAGUUCCAGUCCCCAGAAACCUGGGGAAGGUAUCUCUGGGCACAGGAAACCUAGAAGGACCCCUUAGAACAGUUUUGGCUUUGAGGGCCCAGAAUACACACGUAGGCAAAUGAGUCCCUCGCCCCACACAGGUACCUUUUCCCCAACACACACAGAAUCAGCCAGAGUCUCGCUGUCCCAUGCUGCACCUGAUUUAUCAGGCCAGCCUGUGCUAGUGGAAUAGAUUUCACUGCCAAUGUAGCCAAUGAGCCUCUGACCUCAGCUGAAUGGGAAUUCUCUGCACCUUCCCACUCCUUAUCUUCCCUUUCCUCAGCACCACCAUUGCUCACUCACAGCAUCUGGCCUGAGAGGUCUGACAGCUGUGCCCCAGACACCAUGGGGCAGAGACCGCUCUCUGCAGGGCAAUCUUGGGCUUUUCUGUAGACUAUAUGCGUUUGGCAAAUGGAGUAUCUCUCAUAUUCCCUGGUGAUGCCCAGCCCAGUCCAGCCCUGGGCCCUAGGAAUUGGGCAGCCUUCUGCCCAGGCAGGUGCUAGGUACCAGUCGGCUCUUCUUCAUCCCCUGUGGGGAGCAGCAGGAACAGCCCUUGGACUCGGGAUCUGGGAAAGAACUGUCCUUAGCACCAGGCCUGCCCUUUGCCCCAGCUGCUCUAAUGAGAGCAGAAGGGAGGACAGAGGAAUAUGGCAGAUUGAAACUGAGUCCACUUCCCCUCCCAGGGACAACCAGAGAGUCUAUCCAGAGCUGUUCCUGCUCACUCUCCCCAUCAGGCUGGCCUGACCUCAGGGUCAGGGUGUGAACCCCUGGGGAGGUGGCCUGGAGGCCUCAGCUAUGUCAGAGAGACACAGGUGUCAAGCCCACAUUCCCGUCCCUGGCUGUGGGACCUUGGGCUGCUUGCUGCACUGUCCUGAGUGUCUGCUCUCACCUGUCGAUGGGGGGCUGAAAGGCUGUGCCUGUCCACGCGAUGUGCUUGGCCUAGUGCUGGCUCAGAGGAGCCCUUGGCAAACCUGAAACCAGGAAUCCCAGGAUUCCCCAUCCCUGAUGAACUUGGACAUCACACCCACCUCUUCCUCUGGGCUCGGACUUGGACAGGCAUCACGCCCUAUUUAUCUCCAUGAGGCCUGGGGCCCAACUUCCUUCACGUUCCCAACUUCCCACCUUUCCUACGGGGGGCCCCUGAGUCUCCCCACCCCACGGCUCCCACUCACCCUCACUAACACACUCACGUGGUCCAUGUCAGUCUUCUGGAUUCUCACUCACCUGGUCUGUCUCACACUCCCGCUUGCAGGUGCUCUGGGCAUCCACCCAGAGGUUGGGGUUCAUGUCGUUGGGGCAGAUGCCAGCAUGGGAAUAGCGGAUGGGCGGCAGUGUCAGGCCUCUCGGGGGCACCCCGAGCAGCAGCAGCAGCAGCACUGCCACCUGCGCCCAGCGGGACCAGAGCCGGCAGCAGCACCCCGGGGCCCACAUGGUGUGGUCUGCGGUGGCUAGAGCCCUCCCCUGCAACGAGGCCAGGGGCUGGGGCCCACCAGGGCCGCCUCCUCCUCUGGGCUGCAGACACCUGCCCUCCCCACCCCAGCGGGCUUCCUCGCUGCCGCCGCCGCCGCCUCCACCAAGUCAGUGGAGCCCGCUGGGCUGUGCGGCUUCAGAUAAAGGGAAGGUCUCUGCAAGGAAACUCCCUCUCCUGAGUGUGCAGGGAGAGGAGCCCGCAGCAGGGGCCCGAGCCUGGAUUUAUAUCCUGGGCGCGCCACCCGAGUGGGAGCGAGCGAGCUAACCUGAUGCCUGUCACAGGCAGGCUGCUGGCUCCUCUGUCCCGUGGCCGAUCACAGACUUGUUGCAGAAGGGAAAAAAAAAGCUGGAAGCGGUUUAGGCGGCGUAUCUGGCACGGUGGGACACCUGCUUGUUUUUGACUCCAGGAGGCCUUUAACCCCUUCAAGGGCCAGAAAUGGCAUGUGCUUUGGGGGGAGCUGGCUCCGGGACACGCAAGCUCACUGUAAAGGAGUGGUUUGUUUCCCUUUCCCCCACCUCCCCGGGGCCGGGCCCCCUCCUCCGCGUGGCCACCUCCGAAGAACACACGAUCGCUUGUUACAGGAGGGACCUGCAGCCGCAGAGUUAGCAUCGCCUGGCCCGAUAGUACAUUUGAGAGCAAAUGACGUGGAAAAACAACAAGUUCACGGCCAUUCCAGGGCGGGCCUGAGCAGCAGCGCCUGCUGUAGACACAUACCAGAUAUGCUCCGGCUCCCCCGGCUCCCCCAGCUGCCGGGACGUAUCACAUUCCUCGCUCCUCGACUGACACACUCGGCGGCUCCAAGAAAACCUACGGGUUUGUGCCAGGCUCUCUAUAUGCAUCACGACACUGCAUCCUCAGGACCAACUACCUUCGUGGCAGAUCGGAGGAGAAGACACCCAGAGAGGCUAAGCAACUCACCCUCGGUCGCACAGCUAUGGGAUGCCACGUUAAGACGGGAAAUGGGGACGCCAGCUUGCAGGAUGUGGGCAGAGGCCUUUGGGAACCACUCCUUGCCCACCUGGCUGUCAGAACUGCUGUCGAGGUACAGCUUCGACUCUGGUUUUUACAGGGGGGACAAGAAGUUUGUGGAAAGAUCAGAUGCUAUAUUGGUGGAGAGGGCAGGGAAAGAGUUGAAAGCUGCGGGUGGGGGGUAGCAUUUCUGCCCCCUAUGGCAGGAAACAUCAGGUGCCUCCAACACCAUCGAAAAGUGAGCUUCCUAAAUGUGUUUGCAUGGGUCACUUGACCCCCAGAGGGUGUGAGGGAGGGGGGACACAGAUCCCCAGAAGAGAUGGGUACCUCCGAAAGGCCAAACUGCAAAGAUUUGAGGAGCAGUGACCGACCUGCUGCGUCCCAGGGAUAGGAGAUGGUGUAGGCUGAGCCCACUUCAGAGCCAGAAGAGACUUGGGAGGUCCCCAGCAGGGCUCUCAUUUCUGAGGUGGGGAAACUGAGUCCUGAACCCAGGCCCCCACUUUUCCAGGUCUUCUGUCCCCUUGAGGGCUACGGUUUGCCAUCUCAUUCGACUGUAAAAAGGCAGCAUAAUGCUUCUCUCCACCUUGCAGAUUUUUCCUCGAGGGGUGUUGUGUCGCCUUCUCCCAGCCCCAUGCCAAUUCUCUCCCCGUUGUGUGGGUCAUUCUGCAAGAUCUGUCUUUUCUGCUUAUGUCACAGAGCUAAUGAAGGGUGUCAGAUCCUAAUCCCCUAAAUUAUUGGAAUAAACUUCCCUCCGAGGCCAGGCCCGGUAAUGAAGCCAGACAGCGGGCGACGCCGGCUGCUUUGAA